GGUCAUGGGUUCGAUUCCCGUCUGUGGCCUUUCUGUGUGGAGUUUGCGUGUUCUCCCCAUGUUUGUGUGGGUUCUCUCGGGCACUCCGGCUUCCUACCACAUCCAAAAACACGCAGGUUAGAUGGACUGGAAACUUUAAAUUGUCCGUAGGUGUGCAUAAAAUUGGUUGUUU